UUCAACUCUUUUAUAAAUAGGGUCGAAGGGGUGUUGGCCCUAUUCGUCUACGAUCUUGGCUAGGGUUUUGCGUGGCUUAGGGUUCCAUCAGCGGUGUUGAUGGCGGUCAAAAGGUGCCGCCAUACCUUCGCUGGAUCCCAUGGUAACACUUUGUUUUAUGUGAGAUAUUUGGCUGUGAUGAGAAUCUAUUCAGCUUCAAAAUGCCAGUUCUGCUUCAGAAAAUUCAUGAUAGAGGAAGCUGAUGAAAACUGAGCCUUCCUAUGUGCACAAGUUAACACUGAAUUUUCUAUUUUUAUCUAUAUUUCAUCGAUCUUUUUCUCUUCUUUGUUUGAAUUUAUUUUGACAGUGUCUGACAACUAACACGGUUGUUUCUUUCUUUUCUGCCUGUGAUGAUAUCUCCGAGUUUAUGAGGUGUCGCUAGCUCCAAGUCCCUGUUUCACAGGGAGAACCUACUUGGUGCUGUAACAUUCAAAUGAUAUGAAGGGACUUCUUUGAGGCAUUAGUUUGGUACUGAUCACAAGGUUGCCUUCAUAUGUAUGAGAUACUGCCAACUAGCAACUACAUUCUGGGUGUUUUUAAAUACAUAUUUAUCCUAUUUGUUUAAAUAUUAUCUUCUGAACUUUAAUAGUUUGUUAAACUUACAUUAUUUUACACAAAGUAUAUAUUUUGGACAUAAAUGUUUAGUCCUUAAGUACUAAGCAAUUUUUGUGAAAUACAAAAUUUUUAACCUUUCUCAUGUCACAGCUCUGCAUGUUAUCACAUGGUAGUGUGAAUUAGUAACUAAGCUAUAUUUGUGAAAUACAAAAUUUUUAACCUUUCUCAUCUUACAGCUCUGCGAUUUAUCACAUAGUACUGUGAAUUAGCAAUGAAAUUUUUUGAAAAAAAAUUACGGAGCUCACUUUUGGUUACUUGUUCUUAAUAUCUAGAAAUAAUUUUUUGAAUUCUUUUGCCACAGCUAGUGAUGAUUUGUCUGCAAAAUCGAUGUGUUGUGAAACCAAGUCCCUGCUUGCAGGGAGAACCUACUUGGGGAAGCAGCAUUUUACAUGACAUUAGUCAGAUACUUCUGAGGCUCUGAGUUUAAAAUGUUUACUCUUUGGAUUCCGUUUGAUUUACUUUUCACUAUUAAAAAUUUAAUUGUACGGUAGAUGGUACUUCCUAGCUAUCCUUACUGUGACAUGGUAUAUGUCUGUCUGCCUGUUGAUCAAGGGUGAAUAUACUUUGUAAAUAAGAAGACCACCUUCUCCACUCUUUUGCAGUUGUUAAAAUCCCACUGAUGAAUCAAAACUUCAACCUUUCUUUGCUUUUUAAACAAAUCAUGGAUGCCAUUUCAAACAAAUGAUGUGGUGGAAGACAACAGAGAGUAUUUUUUGCAGUCCUUAACUAAAUGAGUUUGGAUCCUCUCCAGUUUGGGGUUGAACAUGAAGAGUUCCAUAUUCCAUUUGUAGGCUAUCUGUACAUUCUGGUGGAGCCUGUGAUUGUUUCAGGCUCAGAUCUGCACCAAUCCGUGGAUGUUUGGCGCUGCUCAGCCACAAGUUGUGCGACAAGGAUGGCCCAAGUUUUCUUGCUGCUCUCGCUUUUGUUUUUAAUCUUUAUCUUUUUCCCUCUGUUUUUUGGCUUUGCUAUGAUAAUCACUGCAUGUGAUUGUUCCUCUGGAUUAUGUCACCCGACUUACAUUACUUGUGUCUCCAAGUACUUGAGUUCAACUAUCCUCAUGCUAGCGCUCCCAACUGGCAUGUAGGCUGAAGAACUCAGAAAUUGAGUGUUGUCAUCAGCUUCGUCUCUCAUCAAAUGAGAUUGGAGUUAAAUAACAGCACAACAUUGUACAUUUUCCCAUGUUCUUAUAUGUUAGUUAUUGUCAGGGUUGUGUUUUAUACAAAUGUGUAUGUCUAAAUGUCUAUCAAUUUAUACCUAAAGUGUGUUUUAUGUGUUUUGUUGGGGUAAUUAGAUUGUCCAUAUCCUUGUAUGUUCUUAGUCAUCUUUCAUUUCUCAAUCUGUGGCAUCUAGUGUUAUUUCUUUCAAUUCUUGGUAGUUUACCAUGCUCUGAAGCCUGAAGGUUAGAAUGUCUGAAUAAAAUAUAUUCAAGAUUUAUUAAUAGUUUGUGGAGAUAUUAAUAGUGUCAAUGAUUUGUAACUUUAAACUAAGUACAGUAAUUCAAGUGUUUUGGUUGUAUUAGAGUGAUAAUAUACAUGCAUGCAUGAAUUGUGUAUCCGAUUCACUACCAUCAGCAUUAAGCAGAAGAGGAAAUAUGGUGAUGAUAUGAAGGCUCUUUACAUCUCUGAAGUCGGAGAGCUUGGGAUAGAUUUUCAGGUGCAUCUUAUACUUUUGUGUCUUCAAAUGAUUGGGACAUGCCUGGAUGGUUAUGUUGUUGUUUGUACUUUGGGAGAGGUGGUGAAGCAGUUGUGGGCAACUAUAAGAAAUAUUUGUAAAAAUAAUAGCUUGUGGGAUGGCCUGAUUACACAUAGAAGCUUGAAUGUUUGUGAUCUUUCUAAUUAUCAUAGGUUUCUUCUGGUA